CUGGUCAGGUAACGGCUUACCAAGGCGAAGAUCAGUAGCCGACCUGAGAGGGGGACCGGCCACAUUGGGACUGAGACACGGCCCAAACUCCUACGGGAGGCAGCAGUGGGGAAUAUUGCACAAUGGGGGAAACCCUGAUGCAGCGACGCCGCGUGAGCGAAGAAGUAUUUCGGUAUGUAAAGCUCUAUCAGCAGGGAAGAAAAUGACGGUACCUGACUAAGAAGCACCGGCUAAAUACGUGCCAGCAGCCGCGGUAAUACGUAUGGUGCAAGCGUUAUCCGGAUUUACUGGGUGUAAAGGGAGCGUAGACGGAUGGGCAAGUCUGAUGUGAAAACCCGGGGCUCAACCCCGGGACUGCAUUGGAAACUGUUCAUCUAGAGUGCUGGAGAGGUAAGUGGAAUUCCUAGUGUAGCGGUGAAAUGCGUAGAUAUUAGGAGGAACACCAGUGGAGAAGGCGGCUUACUGGACAGUAACUGACGUUGAGGCUCGAAAGCGUGGGGAGCAAACAGG
rnacentral:rRNA from 1 species